rnacentral:lncRNA from 1 species
ACAAAUACCCACAAGAAAGAUCAUUAGCUUUAUAUCCUAGAGAUUUCAAUCACAUACCAUACCAUUAACUCAAACAAAUCAGCUUCAAAAGCAACUACAACGCUCAUCAAAUAACAAGUUUCCUCAACCUACCUACCUAAACCAAGUUUCAAGCUAACAUCCUGCCUCUUAGAAUACAAGGUCUCUGCCAUUCUCGCUCACCAGAUCAGCACUCUCAAAAAUACCUUC